CCGCCGGCGACCGGCGCACGGGUGAGUAACACGUAUGCAACCUGGCCGUGACAGAUGGAUAACCGGGAGAAAUCCCGCCUAAUACAACAUAAUGCCGGGAGGGGACAUCCCCUGCCGGUCAAAGGGGGCGACCCCGGUCACGGAUGGGCAUGCGGCGCAUUAGGUAGUUGGUGGGGCAACGGCCCACCAAGCCGACGAUGCGUAGGGGUUCUGAGAGGAAGGUCCCCCACAUUGGAACUGAGACACGGUCCAAACUCCUACGGAAGGCAGCAG
rnacentral:rRNA from 1 species